GCCGGAGUGGCGGAAUUGGUAGACGCGGCGGAUUCAAAAUCCGCUUCCCGCGAGGGAGUGGGGGUUCGAGUCCCUUCUCCGGUACCA
rnacentral:tRNA from 1 species